rnacentral:lncRNA from 1 species
UGAUUAUUUAUCACAGCCAUUUUGCAUAGUGCUAAUUACAAUGACAGGAAGUUAAAGAUAGAAAUCUUCAAAAUUUAUGCAUUCCUGUGAGGAACCUUUUGGACUGGGAUCAGUUUCUUGUGAGAAAUCUUCCCACCAAAGCUUCUGAUGGAACUGAGGAAACAAUGUAUUUAAUUGGUUUGGAGUUUACUGGAUAACCAGCAGUGGUGAGACCUCUAACCACCGUGAGUAAAUGUGAUUAGAUGCUAAAAAAAUUACUAAAAUUUCAU